AUUGAACGCUGGCGGCAUGCUUUACACAUGCAAGUCGAACGGUAACAGGCCGCCAGGUGCUGACGAGUGGCGAACGGGUGAGUAAUGCAUCGGAACGUGCCCAGUCGUGGGGGAUAACUACUCGAAAGAGUAGCUAAUACCGCAUACGAUAUAUGGAUGACAGCGGGGGACCGUAAGGCCUCGCGCGAUUGGAGCGGCCGAUGUCAGAUUAGGUAGUUGGUGGGGUAAAGGCUAACCAAGCCAACGAUCUGUAGCUGGUCUGAGAGGACGACCAGCCACACUGGGACUGAGACACGGCCCAGACUCCUACGGGAGGCAGCAGUGGGGAAUUUUGGACAAUGGGCGCAAGCCUGACCCAGCAAUGCCGCGUGCAGGAAGAAGGCCUUCGGGUUGUAAACUGCUUUUGUACGGAACGAAACGGCUCUGGUUAAUACCCGGGGCUAAUGACGGUACCGGAAGAAUAAGCACCGGCUAACUACGUG
rnacentral:rRNA from 1 species